GACGAACGCUGGCGGCGUGCUUAACACAUGCAAGUCGAACGGAAAGGCCCUGCUUUUGUGGGGUGCUCGAGUGGCGAACGGGUGAGUAACACGUGAGUAACCUGCCCUUGACUUUGGGAUAACUUCAGGAAACUGGGGCUAAUACCGGAUAGGAGCUCCUGCUGCAUGGUGGGGGUUGGAAAGUUUCGGCGGUUGGGGAUGGACUCGCGGCUUAUCAGCUUGCUGGUGGGGUAGUGGCUUACCAAGGCUUUGACGGGUAGCCGGCCUGAGAGGGUGACCGGCCACAUUGGGACUGAGAUACGGCCCAGACUCCUACGGGAGGCAGCAGUGGGGAAUAUUGCACAAUGGGCGGAAGCCUGAUGCAGCAACGCCGCGUGCGGGAUGACGGCCUUCGGGUUGUAAACCGCAUUCGCCUGUGACGAAGCGUGAGUGACGGUAAUGGGUAAAGAAGCACCGGCUAACUACGUG
rnacentral:rRNA from 1 species